rnacentral:misc_RNA from 1 species
AACGCACAUUGCGCCCCCUGGUAUUCCGGGGGGCAUGCCUAUUCGAGCGUCAUUAUCACCCCUCAAGCCUAGCUUGGUGUUGAGGCCUGCUGUCAAGGCAGCCUCUAAAAUCAGUGGCAGUGCUGUCAGGCUCUAAGCGUAGUAAAAUAAAUCGCGAUAGGGUCCUGGUGGAUACUCGUCAGAACCCCCCCAUUUUUUAAUGAUUGACCUCGGAUUAGGUAGGGAUACCCGCUGAACUUAA